GAUGAACGCUAGCGAUAGGCUUAACACAUGCAAGUCGAGGGGCAGCACAAGGUAGCUUGCUAUCUGGGUGGCGACCGGCGCACGGGUGCGUAACGCGUAUGCAACUUGCCCUAUACAGGAGGAUAACCCGUCGAAAGACGGACUAAUACUGCGUAUGCUCACAACUUGGCAUCAAGUGGUGAGGAAAGAAAUUCGGUAUAGGAUAGGCAUGCGUCCCAUUAGCUUGUUGGUGAGGUAACGGCUCACCAAGGCAACGAUGGGUAGGGGAACUGAGAGGUUUAUCCCCCACACUGGUACUGAGACACGGACCAGACUCCUACGGGAGGCAGCAGUGAGGAAUAUUGGUCAAUGGGAGCGAGCCUGAACCAGCCAAGUCGCGUGAAGGAUGACUGUCUUAUGGAUUGUAAACUUCUUUUAUACGGGAAUAACAAGAGUCACGUGUGACUCCCUGCAUGUACCGUAUGAAUAAGCAUCGGCUAACUCCGU
rnacentral:rRNA from 1 species